rnacentral:rRNA from 1 species
CCUACGGGAGGCAGCAGUGGGGAAUUUUGGACAAUGGGCGCAAGCCUGAUCCAGCAAUGCCGCGUGCAGGAUGAAGGCCUUCGGGUUGUAAACUGCUUUUGUACGGAACGAAACGGUGAGCUCUAAUACAGUUUGCUAAUGACGGUACCGUAAGAAUAAGCACCGGCUAACUACGUGCCAGCAGCCGCGGUAAUACGUAGGGUGCGAGCGUUAAUCGGAAUUACUGGGCGUAAAGCGUGCGCAGGCGGUGAUGUAAGACAGAUGUGAAAUCCCCGGGCUCAACCUGGGACCUGCAUUUGUGACUGCAUCGCUAGAGUACGGUAGAGGGGGAUGGAAUUCCGCGUGUAGCAGUGAAAUGCGUAGAUAUGCGGAGGAACACCGAUGGCGAAGGCAAUCCCCUGGACCUGUACUGACGCUCAUGCACGAAAGCGUGGGGAGCAAACAGGAUUAGAUACCCUGGUAGUCCACGCCCUAAACGAUGUCAACUGGUUGUUGGGUCUUCACUGACUCAGUAACGAAGCUAACGCGUGAAGUUGACCGCCUGGGGAGUACGGCCGCAAGGUUGAAACUCAAAGGAUUGACGGCUGAGACGNGCGAGGCGACGACGAGGGGAGGAGG